GACGCUGAGGGGUAGGGAGGGUUACGCUUAGCGAUGAGGGGAAUCUAUGAACCCUGGGACUUCGGAUUCCUUGUGUUGGAACCCACAAAGUACGUGUAUGAAAACGCUUUUGCCCGAUAACAGCCCCUGAGCGAGCAGGCGGCAGAAGGGACGCUGCGCUGUCAUUCCCUUCUCAGCGGCCGCCUGCUGUUUGGAUUGCCAUUCACCUGGAGAGGAUGGCCUGCUGGGAGCUCUGCUGAUGGGCUGACUGCUUAGGGAAUGCUUCAGACGUAAUACAGACUGCAAAUGGGAGCCUGAAAAUCGCAUCAGGGGGGGCCCACUCUAUUAUUGUUCAAUUUGCUGCCACUACCUGACACCUCAUUUUGCUGAGGAUCCCCAGAGGUGAGGGAGCAUUGUUCUGGCCAGAACAGGAACCUCUGUGGCACAUUUCUGUAGCUGGCCAGCGUAUGGAGGAGGAUUCCCACCAAAGUUCAUUUGCUUCUUGCAUGCAAUUCUUGCCGGGGCAGAGGCGUGAUUUGUGCUAUAGCUGAGAGCGUGACGGUGGUGGAGGAGCAGCAGUGUUUGAGAACAGCCACGGGGCAAGUUAAACUGUAACUUUUACGGUAUGACCCCCAUGUUACCUCUGAACCCUUCCCAAGUUUCCUUGGGAAACUACUGAGCAUUUUUAAAGUUAGUCCAAGAUUUCUUCCUUGUUAAAAUUUUGUUGGAAAUCAUGGAAGCCAGUGAAACACCCGCGGGUCUUUACAGCAGAGAAUAUUGUGUAACGCCUGCCCAUGGAUCCUCUCCCAAUCCAAGGGGUUUUCCCCCAGCAGCGGUCACACUGCAGCGGCAGCAGAGGGCGCGAGUCCCCCCGGGGGUGUCUGACCCGGCCCAUAGCGGGGGGAACAACGAUUCCCGUGGGUUGGAAGGUGCGAAACUAGAAAGGAUUUCUUAAAUUAAACAAAAAAAAAGAAGCCAAGCCAUCUCAGUGCAGUGCUUGAGCACACAGAAGCCACGUGGGGCGAGCUGGAAUGUGUUCCUGCCAGCCACCACCAUGAGCAUGAGCUUCGUGCCUCAGGGCAGCCUCAGAGGGGAAUCAUGAGUAAAACACGCCGCAGUGUGACAAAGUCAUGGCUGACUGGUCUGAUGAGCAUGUGAACAGAAAAAUAAUCAUUUUUCAAAUGGGUGAGAGAUCUUCUGUUAGCCAGAAGAAGAAAAAAAAGAGGGUGGGCAGCACUUCAUUUCAUGUCCAGUGAGCUAAGGACACUUUCUGAGGGCGCAGGAUCUAUCUUGAAAAAUGAGAUACUGAUUUAUAUAUAUCAAGAUGCUUCAGAGAUUCAAGGAAAGCACAUCAUGAGUUAUUAGUUUGUCAAGUCUCUUCUUUCUGAGACACUUUUAAUUUGUUAAUGUUGUGUUAGUCUUUACAGUUUCUCUAAAGAAAAAAUACUAGAACUUUUCCUGCCCUUUAAAAAAUAAUCUUUUUUUCUUAUUAUUUAUUGUGGUUAAGAAGGAUUAAAUGUAGCAAUCUAUGCUCUAUGCUAUUGGAUUAUUUUAUUCCAUUCUGUUUUCUCAGAAGUACUGUUUUAUUUGUAUGUAGUAAACAGCCCUUGUAGAUUAAGCUGAGGAAAAUUGCACCCACUUUCUGACCUGUUUGCUAAUAGAAUAUUUACAUCACUGUUGUCACCAGCUAACCCAUUAUCAUGAGCU